rnacentral:rRNA from 1 species
UACGAAGGGUGCAAGCGUUACUCGGAAUUACUGGGCGUAAAGCGUGCGUAGGCGGUUUGUUAAGUCCGCUGUGAAAGCCCUGGGCUCAACCUGGGAAUUGCAGUGGAUACUGGCAAGCUAGAGUGCGGUAGAGGAUGGUGGAAUUCCCGGUGUAGCGGUGAAAUGCGUAGAGAUCGGGAGGAACACCCGUGGCGAAGGCGGUUCUCUGGGACGGUACUGACGCUGAGACGCGAAAGCGUGGGGAGCGAACAGG